rnacentral:rRNA from 1 species
UACGAAGGGGGCUAGCGUUGUUCGGAAUCACUGGGCGUAAAGGGCGCGUAGGCGGCUUUAUAAGUCGGGGGUGAAAGCCUGUGGCUCAACCACAGAAUUGCCUUCGAUACUGUAGAGCUUGAGACCGGAAGAGGUUAGUGGAACUGCGAGUGUAGAGGUGAAAUUCGUAGAUAUUCGCAAGAACACCAGUGGCGAAGGCGGCUGACUGGUCCGGUUCUGACGCUGAGACGCGAAAGCGUGGGGAGCGAACAGG